rnacentral:rRNA from 1 species
UACGAAGGGGGCUAGCGUUGCUCGGAAUUACUGGGCGUAAAGCGCACGUAGGCGGCUUUUUAAGUCGGAGGUGAAAUCCUGGAGCUCAACUCCAGAACUGCCUUCGAUACUGAAGAGCUCGAGUCCGGGAGAGGUGAGUGGAACUGCGAGUGUAGAGGUGAAAUUCGUAGAUAUUCGCAAGAACACCAGUGGCGAAGGCGGCUCACUGGCCCGGUACUGAUGCUGAGGUGCGAAAGCGUGGGGAGCAAACAGG